UAUGUAACUCCAUGAAAGAGCUUUUUUUGUACCUGAUGAAAGUAUUAAGCCAUCAAGCAUUUUUUGGAAGAGAUAUCGACAUCACUGCUCAAAGAUGAAUGAUGACAACUGGCCAGUGAAUUGUGUUCCACAGACAUCACUACAGAAUUGAAAGCUCUCAAUUUGCUACUGCAGGGAAAAGGAAAAAAAAAAUGAAUGGACUUGCUUAAGAAAUGAAUGACAACCUGCUAAAAUUUAGUUUCAGAGGAAAAAAACUUGAAAACACUAAAUAUUGAACAUUUAAUAUUUGGAAAGAACUUCAUUUUAAAUAUAAUUUCAAAUAUAACUUGACCAUUACAUUUUUGAAAUGUCCCAUUUUUUAAAAAAACAAUUCAAACUGUUUGCUAUAAUUCUUAAAAUGUGCAUUUCCCCAAAGAUACUUAUCAAAUAGGAUGGUGAAGUCAUUGAGAGAAGUGUACCUUCUUUUACCUGGCUGGACAUUGAUACACUUUUGCUGGACAUGAUUGAAUUUUAGACUUAUGGUCAUUGUAAAACUCUACAAGCAAAGUCAGAUUGUUAGUGUUUUUAUACAUUGACACUAAAUGUUAAUCCUAUCAGACUACCGAUGUAUUUUUCAGUUGCUAGAUUAUUUUCUUAUUUCAUAUGAUAUCGAGGUGUGCCAUGAAAAUUAAGUUUUUGUUCACAGUGAUGAUACUUAUUUAUGAAUCUUUUGCAAGAAUAGGAACUUAAUUCUACAGUGUUGUGUAGAUAGUUUCUGUGUGUGCUUAUCAGUUACCUCUAGACUUUCACUAUGUCAUGAAACAUGCAAAUGAAUUUUUCACUGAGAGUAAUAGGCCAUAUCAAGCAAUAGCACACUCAGCUUUAUCUUUUAUUUGUGUAAUUUUCCAAAACUUUUCUUAAAAUAGCUUUUAUUUUUAUUUGCUAGAUGUUUUAUUUGUGCUUUUUGAUUAAAGCAGAUUCUUGAACUGCCUGGAUUUUUAUUGAUGCUAUAUGCUUGCAUGUAUUAUUUAAUAAUUAAAUAAUCAUUCAGGUAGAUCUGUAUACUUUGUACUCCUUUUCUGGUAGAUCAUUUAUUGUCUUAAUAUCCUAUCUCCAUGAAAGCACGAAAUAUAACUUAUGUAAAAGUAAACAAAUUCUGAAAGCACAACAUGAUUCAAAUCACUCUACUUUUUUGCAGUUGGCCUUUUUCAUGCCAGGUAUUUGUCCUAUGUAUCUACCAUUGGAUAAAAAGCCACAUUAACUGACAAGAUGACCCUCAGAUUGAAUGAAGUUGUCUUUUUAUUGAAAUACUGAUGAAAAAGUACCAUAGUAAUUUAUGAAAAUAAUUUAAAAGUUUAGUAGAUGGAAGGAAAACAUAGUUUAAUUUUGAAAAGAUUUUUUUAAAAAAUGGAUCUUGCAUUGAUCCUGGCAGUGGAUUCUAACAAAGAGGAGGCACCAUUUGUUUUUCCCUUAUAUUUAAAUUUCCUUCCCUCCUCCGUCUUCCUUUUUUCUCUUAAUCUCAUGUUUGGCUCCAUUUCUUACGGCAAGUAGAACUUGAGCUCUUUUUUAGCCCUGACAGUAAUGGUCAUCUCUUUGCUUCUUAUUAGCCCUUCAUUGUCUGCAAGCAGUAUAUUCUUCCUGAGAUAAACAUUUGACUAUGAAUGUCAUUUGCUUGAAUUCCAGUGAACACACAAGGAUUAAGAUGAAGAGACUUUGAAUUUGUGUGUGGUAAUUUAAACCAAAUAUGAAAAAAUGUAGUGAGAUCAUUUUUAUGAAACUGAAACUUUUUAACAUAUCCUUUAUGAAAGUUCAGAAUUUAGAACAACAUUGAAAUUCUGAUGAGCAGGAGGAAUACUUUUAAUCUAUUAUUAGUACAGUGUAAACCUUCUUCCUCACCUGCUACAGAGUAUUUGCUUUUACUAACUCAAGAGAAUCUUUAUCAUAAUAAACAUGAAUAGUCAUUGAUAUUUUUAGUACCUAUUGUAGCCAGUAUCAGUCAGUAAACAUUUAUUAAGCACAUUCUGUGUGUCAGGCAGUAUGCACACAGUGCAUAUGUGACUUUGGGGAAAAUACUGAGGUUGACAAUGUGAGACAUAAGUUGCUACAGAUACACUAAAACUGAGAGGGUGGUAUAGUUAGAAGAGGGAUUGGACUUGGAGUUAGAAGAACUCAAUUUUAAUCCUUUUUCAUAACUUCUACAGGCCUGUUCUCAUCUGUAAAAUGGGGUUUAUAUAUUAACCUAGCUACCUUAUAAGCCUGAGAGGAUCGAGUGAAACAAUGUUUUAAGAACUUUGUAAACACAAAGCUCUGAAAAUGCUUAGAAGUUGUUAUUAUUGUUAACCAGUGGAAAGCUACCAGUCUCCUUUGCCAGGUUCUAAUGAAGGAGAUAAUUAUAUUCUAAAUCUCAUCCUUUUUGCUAACACUUUCCAGAAUUCUUUGUAAUAAAAAUGUUGGAAUUCAUCCUGUGCACCCAAAUCAGGCUGGUUGCAGUCUAUGCCUUUGCCUCGUCAGGUUCAGAUAAUGGAGUAGUAUACAGAUAAUUUAUUCAAGUGAGGUUUGCUUCAAGGAUUUCUUUGCUGACUUUCACAGAAAAGUUAAUUACAGUGACCCAGCACAAUAAAAUUAUGCCUUUUAUUGUGAGAUUAUAGGACUAUACAAAUGCCAGAUUUUUUUCUAGGCUUUUAGACAGAUUUUUUUUAAUCAACAAAUGUUCAAAAGUUAUACUUUUUCCUAAUGACAUGGUUCUAUCAACUCCUAGCAAACUUGAAGAACAAAGACUUUUUUAAAUGAUAGAAAUACAUUCAAGAAAUGUACAUGACUAAUGUUGUAGGUAAAGAGGCUAACUAUUCAUGUUUAAUAGUAAAUGUAAGGCCUUGAGUAAAACUUUUAAUCAAACAUAUAUAAAAAAUCAGUUAGCACAACAUAUGACAUAUUAAUUUAUUGCUAGAAUAAGUCACAGAAAUGUUUCUAAAGCAGCUAUUCUCUACAAUUUUUACUCAAUAUGAGAUCUAACACUAUUGCACCACAACCGUAUUUUAAGUAUCACAUAUUUUUAUUAACUUCCCAUCAACUCUUAGAUUCUAAAAUUGUGGCAAGAGCCCAAAAGGUUGAUUUUAACAACAGCAGCAAACAAAAACCCUUCACUUUUUUGUCAUCCCUAAUUUUGUAUCAGUCAGUUAAUAAUCAUAUAUUAAGCUCCUAUUAUGUACCAUUCUCCCUAUGCAAAAUAGCUCUUGACAUAAGAAGCCAAAUAGAAAGUACAUAUUUGGGCCAGUCAAGUAUUAAAUAUUAUUCAGAACAUAGAACAUAAUUACUGAAAGCAAGAACUGUUCAGUGGUGAUGUCUGGAUUGCUUGUGCUCCUUGAAAAAGUGGGGAGGGGUCAAGGACUACAAUAAUAGAUGUGCAGAGAAGAAUAAUGAAAUACACUGUUUUAUUUGCCAUUUCCUUCAGGACACCUCUCACAGGGAGGACCUUCUGAUCUCAUUUAUGCAUUCCGCUCUUAGUCUGUAUGAGUUACAUUUUUAAAUUUCUUAAUGCAUUUGGAAAAAUAAUAUAUAUGUUAUGAAAGUAAAAACUACUUUUUCGUUUCCUUGGCUUAACUUAUUAUAAAAAACACAAUAUGCUCAUACUUUGCAAUCUGUUUUUCUAGGUGGGUAAUAUCAUAUGUUGAAGUUUCUAAUAUUUCAGUAAUUAAAUGGAGCUGUAUUAUUGGUGGGAACAUUUCCUUUCACAUUUUGGAAAAUUUUUUAUAAAAUAAUUUAAAUUAAAUUUAUAUUUAACAAUACUAUUGUGGGUCUUCCUUAGCAUAAUUUAUUUAACGUCUUUCGUGAAUAUAGGGUACUAUUAUUUAACUUAUACUACAACCAGGCCUACAAGUAUUGCAUUUUUUUCCUGAAUGUAUGAUGAUUGGUUAAUAAAAACCUUUUUUUCUUUCAA